AGGCCCGUAGUGUAGCGGCCAAUCAUCCAAGUCUUUGGAAUUUGGGACGGAGGUUCGAAUCCUCUCGGGCCUACCA
rnacentral:tRNA from 1 species